rnacentral:rRNA from 1 species
CCAAGGAGUCUAACAUGUGCGCAAGUCAUGGGGUUGUACGAAACCUAAAGGCGAAAUGAAAGUGAACGAAAAAAGGUACGAUCCCGCUUGACCAUUGAUUUGGCGGUGGGCGCAGUACCGGCCCGUCUCGUCCGCGCUGUCGGAGAGGCGGAGCAAGAGCGUACACGUUGGGACCCGAAAGAUGGUGAACUAUGCUUGAGUAGGACGAAGCCAGAGGAAACUCUGGUGGAGGUCCGUAGCGAUUCUGACGUGCAAAUCGAUCGUCAAACUUGAGUAUAGGGGCGAAAGACUAAUCGAACCAUCUA